AUAUUUGAUCCAUCCAAGGGUUAUUAUUAGUGUGGUCUCCCCACAAGAAACCCCAACCGCACCACCACGAACCCCGCUCUCUCUCCGAUCGAUCCACCACCGCCAACACAUCCCUCUCUCUGUCGACUCCCUCCCUCUCCCUCACGCCCACCGCAAGCCCUCAGGAAUCGAAUCCCGGUCGCUCCUUUCUGGCUCUUCCUCUCCCUCUGCCUCUCUCAAACCAGUCAUCGAUCUUGACCUACUGCCGAUCCCGAUUCGACACCACUAGCAUCGUAGACUGGCGCAACGAGUCACCACUAGAACCACUACCGUUUGAGGCUCUCAGGGUUCGAAUCGAUGGCAUGUAGUUCUUCUUCACCUCAAGGUUUGAAAUCUCCCAACUUCAUGCCACUUUCUCCGAAUCUUAUAAACUUGAGGUGAGACUGUUCUUUUACUUGCAUGUGUGCCAUACUUCCCUGUGAUUUGGUUUCGGUCGUUCAGUCCGGUUCUUGGUUUGAUUUAUAGCUCUCCAUGAUUAAGGUCAAAUAAUUUGGUAACAAAACAAUGCUUACAUUGAUUUCUUGCUUCUACUCUAUUUCUGCUAUUCUUCUAUUGUGAAAAUCUGUUGCUAAGUUGUGCGUGUUAACACGCACAUGUUUUUUUUUUUUAUCAGAUUAACACACACAUGUUCACAUUAAGUUUUUCCCCGUGGGAAGAAAUAUUCAAUUGCCUUCCAAGUAUUUGAUAAAAUGUCCAAAUGGAAUUACGAUCCAAGGAUCAUUUUGUUCAUUUGUCUUUUCCUUUUCCCUUCUCUCUUCAGGUGUCAUUCGCUGGUCGUGUGUAUCUUAAAAUAUGUAUGGCUACUGGAUCUGUAGUUUGGAGCAUAAAUAAGUAGCUGAAGAAAACUAUUUGACUCCUUCAAACUGCAGCUUGAAACACCUCUUAAGGCAAUAAGAACAGCGUCAGAACUUGACACCAAAGAAGGCAAUAGUAGCAGUAGAAAUGAGCACGGAAGAGCUCAAUAGCAGCAGAAAGUGACACCAUAUGAAAGUCCAUUAGCAGCAAAAGUGACAGUCAAAUUUGAGACAAAGAGUAACAAGAGCAACAGCACAACAGCAACAAACCACAACAAAUUAACUUCACACUUAACAACAUACUUUGCAGAAAAAGUAUGAUUGUCACCUUUAUGGUGUGAGUUUCUCCUAUAUGAGCAAGUGUUUUUGGGUAUCAUUGUGGCUACAUGAUGUAGUUAACUUAUCAAGAUUGUUCCUCGGGGAUUUAUCUGUUACUUAAAGCUAGAAUCGUGUAGGUUCAAUUGUUGGCUUCAAAAUGGGGAGGAGAUGUACCUUGUGGCUUCAGUCACAGUAUAAUAUUUGGUGUUUGCUUAUUGACCCUUUUGUAGCUUUGUCAAGUUGACCUUUUCAUUUAAUUAUGUUCUCUCUAUUGGAAUUUGUAGGUGUUUCAUGUUAGUCGUUUAUCUUUCUUCAAUCGUGAAUUGAAACUAUCUUAGGUUGGUUGAUUCAUCUACAAAAUUGUGAGGUGUCAUCGUGAUCGAUGUGCCAAGUUGAAUCUUUACAUCCUUUAAGUACAACACUCACGAAUUAGAUGGCUUUAAAUUUGGCAUUGUUUCCAGGAGUUAAGUACUAGCCUAUACUUAUGAAUUACAACAAUAUCUCCCCGUCAUGCCUUUAGGCACGGGCCAUUUCAUGAAUAUCCUUAGGUCAUUGUUUUUUGCAUAGUUGAAUUUGUUGGACAAGGGUUGAUAUAUUGCGCGUGAGUCCAGUGUUUAUUUGCGUAUGCCAAUCAUUCGAGCCAUGUCUUUAGACACGGACAUGCACUAGGAAGGUGGACUCUCAAUGACUGACAUCGAAAAGCCUUUCAGAAGGUGGACUCUCAAUGACUUUGGCAAGGGAAAAGAGGCUGAUGGGCAAAUUAAUCUAUUUCAUUUUGGACAGAGCAAUCACAUUUGGCACUAAGGAGAUUUCCAAGAGCCAGGGGGUUGCUAGGUAGUCGUAUUGGGUGAAUGUAGGAAAGCCACAACAAUAUCAUAUUGUCGGUUCCGAGGUAUCUGUUUCGAUCGUCUCAGGCGAUGGGACCGAUUUUUUUUCUUGAUGUUCAUAUCUUAGGCGGCGGAACCAUUAUUAUUAUUAUUUUUUCUGUUGUUCGUGUCUGAGGCGGUGGGACCAUUUUUUUACUUUGUUGUUGUUUGUCUAUGUUUGGCCCAUUUGUAAUUUUGGAUAGUUGCAAACUUGCUAUUAUGUCGCGUUGUGGCUUUAAGCAUGGGGAAUUCCUACGAAUAUGCUUGAUUUUUUUUUAUUUUUUUUAUUUUUUGUAGUUGGGUUCGUUGGGCAAGGGUUGAUAUAUUGCACGUGAGUCCAAUGUCUAUUUGUGUUUGCGAUCGUUUGAGCCGUGGAUUCAGGCACGGGCAUGAACCUAAUUUAAGAAAACAAAUCUUCCCGUAUAAAUCAGCUUCUUUGGCGGGGGUAGUCAAUAGUUUCGUAAUUCAUUUUAGUUGUAUUCAAAAUGCGUUGCGCCGUGCCUUCAGGCACGGGUAUUC